GACGAACGCUGGCGGCGUGCUUAACACAUGCAAGUCGAACGGAAAGGCCCUGCUGGCAGGGUACUCGAGUGGCGAAAGGGGGAGUAAAACGUGGGUGAUCUGCCCCGUACAUCGGGAUAAGCCUGGGAAACUGGGUCGAAAACAGGAUAGGAGCCAUCCUUAGUGUGAGGGGGGGAUAGAUUGUUCGGUGUGGGAGGGGUUCGCGGCCUUUCAGUUUGUUGGUGGGGGAAUGGCCUACCUAGGCGGUGCCGGGUAGGCGGCCUGAGAGGGUGGACGGCCACAUUUGGGCUGAGGUACCGCCCAGACUCCUACGGGGGGCAACCGUGGGGAAUAUUGCACAAUUGGCGCGAGCCUGAUGCAGCGACGCCGCGUGGUGGAUGACGGCCUUCGGGUUGUUAACUCCUUUCGCUAGGUACGGAGCUUUUUGUGACGGUACCUAGAUAAGAAGCACCGGCUAACUACGUG
rnacentral:rRNA from 1 species